GAUCUUGGCCAAUUCUGGAUAUGGCAGCAUUAUCCAUGCACAAGGUGGACAAAGAGUCAAUCCUUGUGAUAGAGGUUCAUCCUCCUACAACAUCAUUAUCUGUAAACUGAGUCAUUCUUCUACCUCACAAAACAGCAAAACCAAUGGCCAACAGGGUGGAUCGUCUUCUUCCGGUGUCAGUACGG